UCUCUCUAGGCAACAAACAUCUGAUAAUCUUGUUUCCAAAUUGUCAAAACAUUGAAAGACAAAGAGGAGGGAUGGGAAACAUCAGUAGCAGCACCACCACAUCAACAACCGCACAAUCGGUGCCGGACAUGGUGGCUGCGAUCAGAUUCCAUCCCACUGAAAAGGAAAUGGCAGACUUCUUGAGGAAGAAGAUGAAAUAUAACAACUCCCAAGCCUGCCACUUCCUCCCUGUCAUCGAUGUCUGCAAGUUCGAGCCUUAGGAUUUGACUGAGCGCAUGUUCCCUGAAUCUCCAUAUCUAGCUAAGCCGUGGUACUCCUUCAGCUGGUGUGAUUACAAAUUCAUCAAUAGUCUUCGCUGUUAGCCGUGAUGUUUACAUGAUCAAAACACAUAUCAGUUAUCAAGCACAAAGAAGAAUUACUUACUUGUCCAGGAUGCAGCUGCCAUGCUUACAGAAUUUGAUCGAGGAAAAACACUAACUCUUCUGCAAACUCCUAGCCUUAUGACUAUGCUCUAUGGGAAGCCUUAGUUGUCGUAUCUAGGGUUAGCAGGGACCGAUGUUUAUAUACUAGCCAAGGAGAAGCUAAAACUCUCAUUUCUUGGCUCUCAAGUAAAGUAUCAUAAUCAUAUAUUAUUAAGGAUUCUAUCAAGCCUACUUAUAAUGUAAGACACUUAACGUGGGGUAUGAUAUAUGAGGAUCAAAUCACAGCUUUACUGAUUUCCUACUUAUGCAUUCCUAUUUAUGGUUGAUUUAUAUUGAAUA